ACGAACGCUGGCGGCGUGCUUAACACAUGCAAGUCGAACGGAAAGACCCUGCUUUUGUGGGGUGCUCGAGUGGCGAACGGGUGAGUAACACGUGAGUAACCUGCCCUUGACUUUGGGAUAACUUCAGGAAACUGGGGCUAAUACCGGAUAGGAGCUCCUGCUGCAUGGUGGGGGUUGGAAAGUUUCGGCGGUUGGGGAUGGACUCGCGGCUUAUCAGCUUGUUGGUGGGGUAGUGGCUUACCAAGGCUUUGACGGGUAGCCGGCCUGAGAGGGUGACCGGCCACAUUGGGACUGAGAUACGGCCCACACUCCUACGGGAGGCAGCAGUGGGGAAUAUUGCACAAUGGGCGGAAGCCUGAUGCAGCAACGCCGCGUGCGGGAUGACGGCCUUCGGGUUGUAAACCGCUUUCGCCUGUGACGAAGCGUGAGUGACGGUAAUGGGUAAAGAAGCACCGGCUAACUACGUG
rnacentral:rRNA from 1 species